AGGUAUGAAGAAGAAGUUGCACUUCGGGCCACAGCAGAGAAUGAGUUUGUGGCUCUAAAGAAGGACGUGGACUGUGCCUACCUGCGCAAGUCAGACCUGGAGGCCAACGCAGAGGCGCUGACCCAGGAGAUUGACUUCCUUCGACGGCUGUACGAAGAGGAGAUCCGCGUCCUCAACGCCCAUAUCUCGGACAC